UAACGAUCUCAUCUGAAAGAUGGAUCCGUUGGGCUAAUAAAAACUUUCGACUACCAAAUCUCGAACAAAAACGUUCGCCAGGCAAUAAUGAUUGGAUUUACAAUUGGGAUUAUCGUGUGGCACAACAAAUAGUCGGCGUUACCAAAAUACCAUCAGACCGAAUCAAAACAAAGCAUCCAUCACAGUACAGCGAGGAAAGCGAAAUAAGACCAAGUGGAAAAUGGAAAAUGGGAGAAUGAAAAUGGAAAAUGCACAGGAAAAGAAAACCACAACGAGCCCAAGACAAAAAAGAUUUACAAUAUCGCUUGGGAAGAUUUAAAGACCAUUUUCUAUUUUCCUCCCGCUUUCCUUCUGUUUGAUUUUUUGCUCAAUUUGAUGUCGGAAAAACAAGGGCAGAUCCCCCCACCAGCCAACCACUCAAUCUCGAUGGAAAAGUCGGAGAAGACAAUUGAAAGGCGGAGGAGGGGACUGUGGCACGGUGACACUGUGGACUGGGGGAAACUCUCGGAGUCUCUCCUCCACUAAAAGUGUCACAUUAACGAAUUGCUCUGCUGCCGCACAACUAAUUUAUGCCCCAGCACUAAUCGCUGUUCAGGUAGGAUCCGAUUUAUUUGAUUUCCCUCCGCGCGAUCAUAAAUAUACGGGCAGUAAGCCUUUCACAAACAACGAAAGAACACAGUUUUCAUUGAGCAGAAAAUCCGCAUUGCCAUGAGGCGUUCGACUCGUAAAUAAACUCAGACUAUACUCGA
rnacentral:sRNA from 1 species